rnacentral:rRNA from 1 species
UGGGGAAUAUUGCACAAUGGGCGCAAGCCUGAUGCAGCCAUGCCGCGUGUAUGAAGAAGGCCUUCGGGUUGUAAAGUACUUUCAGCGGGGAGGAAGGGAGUAAAGUUAAUACCUUUGCUCAUUGACGUUACCCGCAGAAGAAGCACCGGCUAACUCCGUGCCAGCAGCCGCGGUAAUACGGAGGGUGCAAGCGUUAAUCGGAAUUACUGGGCGUAAAGCGCACGCAGGCGGUUGAUUGAGUCAGAUGUGAAAUCCCCGGGCUUAACCCGGGAAUUGCAUCUGAUACUGGUCAGCUAGAGUCGUGUAGAGGGGGGUAGAAUGCCAUGUGUAGCGGUGAAAUGCGUAGAGAUGUGGAGGAAUACCGGUGGCGAAGGCGGCCCCCUGGACAAAGACUGACGCUCAGGUGCGAAAGCGUGGGGAGCAAACAGG